UACGAAGGGGGCUAGCGUUGUUCGGAUUUACUGGGAGUAAAGCGCACGUAGGCGGAUCUUUAAGUCGGGGGUGAAAUCCUGGAGCUCAACUCCAGAACUGCCUUCGAUACUGGGGAUCUAGAGUCCGGAAGAGGUGAGUGGAACUCCUAGUGUAGAGGUGGAAUUCGUAGAUAUUAGGAAGAACACCAGUGGCGAAGGCGGCUCACUGGUCCGGUACUGACGCUGAGGUGCGAAAGCGUGGGGAGCAAACAGG
rnacentral:rRNA from 1 species